rnacentral:rRNA from 1 species
UUAAGAUACUAAGAGCAUACGGUGGAUGCCUUGGCGAUAUCUGCCGACGAAGGACGUGACAAGCUGCGAAAAGCUGCGGAGAGAUGCAAAUAAUCGGCGACCCGCAGACAUCCGAAUGGAGAAAUCCGGCUGUGAUGAUGCACAGCCAUCCAUGCCCAAGAGCAUGAGAAGGGAACCGGGCGAACUGAAACAUCUAAGUAACCCGAGGAAAAGAAAUCAAACGAGAUACCCCAAGUAGCGGCGAGCGAACAGGGAAGAAGCCCAAACCGGUGAAGGAAACUUUACCGGGGUUGAGGACCAUCAGACCCGCGAAGAACUUUAGCCGAAACUGUUGGGAAACAGUGCCGAAGACAGUGAAAGCCUGGUAGGCGAAAAAGAGAAACGCGGAGAUGGCACCAGAGUACCGCGGGACACGAGAAAUCCCGUGGGAAGCAGGGGGGACCACCCUCCAAGGCAAAACACAGAUAUCGACCGAUAGCGCAUAGUACCAUGAGGGAAAGGUGAAAAGCACCCCGGGAGGGGAAUGAAAGAGAACCUGAAACCGUAUGUUUACAAGCAGUCGGAGACCGCUUAAUAAUAAGGUCGACGGCGUGCCUAUUGAAGAAUGAACCGGCGAGUUACGAAGCCUGGCAAGGUUAAGCAGGAAAUGCGGAGCCGAAGCGAAAGCGAGUCUUAAGAGGGCGCAAGUCAGGAAGCGUAGACCCGAAACCACAGUGAUCUACCCAUGUCCAGGUUGAAACACAGGUAAAAAUGUGUGGAGGACCGAACCUAUAUCCGUUGAAAAGGGUUAGGAUGAGGUGUGGGUAGGGGUGAAAUUCCAAUCGAACGUGGAGAUAGCUGGUUCUCCCCGAAAUAGCUUUAGGGCUAGCCUCAGGGAAAAGAUUGCAGGCGGUAGAGCACUGAUCAGGAGAGGGACCUACCCGGUUACCAAACCCAGUCAAACUCCGAAUGGCUGCAAUCAUACCUGGGAGUCAGACUGCGACUAAUAAGGGCCGCAGUCAAAAGGGAAACAGCCCAGACCAUCAGCUAAGGUCCCCAAUGCCGUGCUAAGUGGCGAAGGAUGUGGCAUUUCAUAAACAACCAGGAUGUUGGCUCAGAAGCAGCCACCAUUUAAAGAGUGCGUAAUAGCUCACUGGUCGAGAGACGCUGCGCCGAAAAUGUCCGGGGCUCAAGCACGGAACCGAAGCUAUGGCAUGAUAGCAAUAUCAUGGGUAGGGGAGCGUUCUUAUAAGGAAGAAGCAUGACCGGAAGGACAUGUGGACAAAUAAGAAGUGAGAAUGCCGGUAUGAGUAUCGAAAAGAAAGGUGAGAAUCCUUUCCACCGAAAGCCCGAGGGUUCCUGAGCAACGAUCGUCGACUCAGGGUAAGUCGGGACCUAAGCCGAGGCGAGAAGCGUAGGCGAUGGACAACAGGUUGAAAUUCCUGUACCGGAUCAAGUCGAUCGAGCGAAGGAGCGACGCAGGAGGGCACAUGAUCGCGCGGCUGGAAGAGCGCGUCCAAGUGCGUAUGUUGCAGCAGAGGAAAACCCCUGCAGCUAAAAGCAGAGACAUGAUGGGGAGUUAAAGGAAACUUUGACGAACUCAUGAAUCCCACACUGCCAAGAAAAACUUCUAGCGAGACAAGAUCCGCCCGUACCGUAAACCGACACAGGUAGGCGGGGAGAGAAUCCUAAGGUGCGCGGGAAAACCCUCGUUAAGGAACUCGGCAAAUUGCAUCCGUAACCUAGGGAGAAGGAUGGCCCCCGGUCAGUGAAGAGCAGAAACGCUCAGAGCUAAAAGGGGCGGCAGAAAAGAGGCCCAAGCAACUGUUUACCAAAAACACAGGUGCCUGCGAAAGCGAAAGCUGAAGUAUAGGUGCUGACGCCUGCCCGGUGCCGGAAGGUUAAGGAGAGAAGUUAGCGAAAGCGAAGCAUCGAACUGAAGCCCCGGUGAACGGCGGCCGUAACUAUAACGGUCCUAAGGUAGCGAAAUUCCUUGUCGGGUAAG